CCUACGGGAGGCAGCAGUGGGGAAUAUUGCACAAUGGGGGAAACCCUGAUGCAGCGACGCCGCGUGGGUGAAGAAGUACUUCGGUACGUAAAGCCCUAUCAGCAGGGAAGAAAAUGACGGUACCUGAUUAAGAAGCCCCGGCUAACUACGUGCCAGCAGCCGCGGUAAUACGUAGGGGGCAAGCGUUAUCCGGAUUUACUGGGUGUAAAGGGAGCGUAGGCGGCGCGUUAAGUCUGAUGUGAAAACCCGAGGCUCAACCACGGGAGUGCAUUGGAAACUGGCGGGCUGGAGUGCCGGAGAGGUAA
rnacentral:rRNA from 1 species